GUAAGGAAUAUUGGUCAAUGGGGGCAACCCUGAACCAGCCAUGCCGCGUGAAGGAUGAAGGCGUUAUGCGUUGUAAACUUCUUUUGUAUGGGAAGAAUGACAGGGAUUUAUCCUUGGAGAGACGGUACCAUACGAAUAAGCACCGGCUAACUCCGUGCCAGCAGCCGCGGUAAUACGGAGGGUGCAAGCGUUAUCCGGAAUCACUGGGUUUAAAGGGUACGUAGGCGGUUAAUUAAGUCAGUAGUGAAAGACUGUCGCUCAACGACGGAUGUGCUAUUGAUACUGGUUAACUUGAAUCAGGUUAGAGUUGGCGGAAUGGGUCAUGUAGCGGUGAAAUGCUUAGAUAUGGCACAGAACACCAAUUGCGAAGGCAGCUCACUAAGGCGAUACUGACGCUGAGGCACGAAAGCGUGGGGAUCGAACAGGAUUAGAAACCCUAGUAGUCC
rnacentral:rRNA from 1 species